rnacentral:tRNA from 1 species
GGGGAUGUAGCAUAAAUGGUAUAGUGCUCGCUUAGCAUGCGAGAGGAGGGGUAUGGGGAUCGAUACCCUGCAUCUCCA